GAUGGGAUAGUUCAGUUGGUUGAGCAUGAGACUCUUAAUCUCAGGGUCACGAGUUUGAGCCACAUGUUGGUUG